UAUCUUGUGGACUAAUGGGUAAGUCUAGAAUUUUUGGUGUUCUACAAUGUGCGUUCGAAUCGCGCCAAGAUAA
rnacentral:tRNA from 4 species